rnacentral:rRNA from 1 species
GUGAGGAAUAUUGGACAAUGGGCGCAAGUCUGAUCCAGCCAUGUCGCGUGCAGGAAGACGCAUCUAUGGUGUGUAAACUGCUUUUGUACGGGAAGAAACACUCCCUCGUGAGGGAGCUUGACGGUACCGUAAGAAUAAGGAUCGGCUAACUCCGUGCCAGCAGCCGCGGUAAUACGGAGGAUCCAAGCGUUAUCCGGAAUCAUUGGGUUUAAAGGGUACGUAGGCGGUUUAAUAAGUCAGUGGUGAAAGCCCAUCGCUCAACGAUGGAACGGCCAUUGAUACUGUUAGACUUGAAUUACAAGGAAGUAACUAGAAUAUGUAGUGUAGCGGUGAAAUGCUUAGAUAUUACAUGGAAUACCAAUUGCGAAGGCAGGUUACUACUUGUGGAUUGACGCUGAUGGACGAAAGCGUGGGGAGCGAACAGGAUUAGAUACCCCUGUAGUCC